UCCAAUCUGGUCCUCAUAAAACGUUAAAGAUCUUAUUGUAUUAUUUAAAUACAGUAUACAAGAAUAUACACCCUUUUCAUAAAUGGCUGCCGAUUAAAAAUUCUUUUAUAUGCAUAUAAAUUGGCCCAACUAGCCUCUUACUCAUGUUAGGAUUUCAAAGGAAUUUCUACCCCGAAACGAGGCUAGUUGGGCCAAUUUAUAUGCACAUAAAGGAAUUUUUAAUCGGCAGCCAUUUAUGAAAAGGGUGUAUACAUGAGAUUCGAUAUUAUAAUUCUAGCGAGGUUUACGACAGUCUGACUGUGCAUCUGCGUUUUUACUAUAGAUAUCUAUGUUUUGAGUUCUUAAAAGGCCUGAUUGUUGUUUCUUGAUCAUUUAUUAUACUCUAGAAGCUUGAAAAUAUAAAUAGUUGUCGAAUAAAGCUCAAUAUUUUGAACACAAAAAUGUAAACAAAGGCUUUGUUUACAUACGGACUGUAGAUCACCUUUAAGUUUAACCUAUUCCAAAAACAUUUUUAAACUAUUCAAAUGGUGAAA